rnacentral:rRNA from 1 species
UACGUAGGGUGCGAGCGUUGUCCGGAAUUAUUGGGCGUAAAGAGCUCGUAGGCGGCUUGUCGCGUCGGAUGUGAAAGCCCGGGGCUUAACUCCGGGUCUGCAUUCGAUACGGGCAGGCUUGAGUUCGGUAGGGGAGAUCGGAAUUCCUGGUGUAGCGGUGAAAUGCGCAGAUAUCAGGAGGAACACCGGUGGCGAAGGCGGAUCUCUGGGCCGAUACUGACGCUGAGGAGCGAAAGCGUGGGUAGCAAACAGG